CCUACGGGAGGCAGCAGUGGGGAAUUUUGGACAAUGGGCGCAAGCCUGAUCCAGCAAUGCCGCGUGAGUGAAGAAGGCCUUCGGGUUGUAAAGCUCUUUUGUCAGGGAAGAAACGGUUGUUCCUAAUACGGAUGGCUAAUGACGGUACCUGAAGAAUAAGCACCGGCUAACUACGUGCCAGCAGCCGCGGUAAUACGUAGGGUGCAAGCGUUAAUCGGAAUUACUGGGCGUAAAGCGUGCGCAGGCGGUUAUAUAAGUCAGAUGUGAAAUCCCCGGGCUCAACCUGGGAACUGCAUUUGAGACUGUAUGGCUAGAGUGUGUCAGAGGGGGGUAGAAUUCCACGUGUAGCAGUGAAAUGCGUAGAUAUGUGGAGGAAUACCGAUGGCGAAGGCAGCCCCCUGGGAUAACACUGACGCUCAUGCACGAAAGCGUGGGGAGCAAACAGGAUUAGAUACCCUGGUAGUCCACGCCCUAAACGAUGUCUACUAGUUGUCGGGACUUAAUUGUCUUGGUAACGCAGCUAACGCUGAAGUAGACCGCCUGGGGAGUACGGUGCAAGAUUAAAACUCAAAGGAUUGACGG
rnacentral:rRNA from 1 species